GAGAAAUUGCGCUGCAUGCAACAAAAAAAUCAAACCUGAAAUCCAAGAAAGACAGAAAGAAAAGCUGUGGGGAGCGUAUAAUUAGGAAUUUCACCAUAAUAAUAUUCCUUUUUUCAUCUAUUUUUCGCAUUUGUCCAACCCCACGAUUACUCGAUAAAUCGAAAAAGAAAAAAAAAAUCAAUCUCCUCCUCGCCAUUUCUUCUCCCUUCUUCUAAUUCUUGGAAUUUUAAUUUUUUUCUCUCUCUAUUUCUGCCCCAAUUUCAGUUUCUAUGCGUACAUGGGGAGAAAGGUGGACGAGUUGGAGAUAAUCGAGAAAUAUGGCUAAUGAAGCUGUCGCUAGUAGCGGUGCCGGUUGCGGCGGAGGUGCUAAUGAGGUUGGGCCAGCAUCGGGGGCUUCUUCGCCGAGAAAUAAGGUGAAGUUCUUGUGUAGCUAUGGCG
rnacentral:misc_RNA from 1 species